AAAUUGAAGAGUUUGAUCAUGGCUCAGAUUGAACGCUGGCGGCAGGCCUAACACAUGCAAGUCGAACGGUAACAGAAAGCAGCUUGCUGCUUUGCUGACGAGUGGCGGACGGGUGAGUAAUGUCUGGGAAACUGCCCGAUGGAGGGGGAUAACUACUGGAAACGGUAGCUAAUACCGCAUAACGUCGCAAGACCAAAGAGGGGGACCUUAGGGCCUCUUGCCAUCGGAUGUGCCCAGAUGGG
rnacentral:rRNA from 1 species